rnacentral:rRNA from 1 species
GACGGGGCCCGCACAAGCGGUGGAGCAUGUGGUUUAAUUCGACGCAACGCGAAGAACCUUACCUGGGCUUGACAUCCCGAUCGCACCUUAUGGAAACAUAGGGGUCAGUUCGGCUGGAUCGGUGACAGGUGCUGCAUGGCUGUCGUCAGUUCGUGUCGUGAGAUGUUGGGUUAAGUCCCGCAACGAGCGCAACCCUUGUCCUUAGUUGCCAGCAUUCAGUUGGGCACUCUAAGGAGACUGCCGGUGUCAAACCGGAGGAAGGUGGGGAUGACGUCAAGUCCUCAUGGCCCUUAUGUCCAGGGCUACACACGUGCUACAAUGGCCGGUACAAAGGGGCGCAAGACCGCGAGGUGGAGCAAAUCCCAAAAAACCGGUCUCAGUUCGGAUUGGAGUCUGCAACUCGACUCCAUGAAGUUGGAAUCGCUAGUAAUCGCGUAUCAGCAUGACGCGGUGAAUACGUUCCCGGCCUU